rnacentral:misc_RNA from 1 species
GUGAAUCAUCGAAUUUUUGAACGCAAAUUGCACUCUCCUCGGAGCGUAUGCCUGUUUGAGGUUCAGCCUAUAAAAAAUCGACAGCGUUGCUGUUUUGCGGUGGUGUUCGUUGGAAAUUUGGUCAUCUUAAAUCUUUUGGUUUUAUGUGACUUAAAAUUUUCUUUUUGGUUCCAUGAACGUUUCUAAGAUUUAUUUCUUUACACGUUUAAGUUAUCGAUUUUUAUUAGACAUUACUAUCAUGUUGGAUGUCGCCGAUAA